UACGUAGGGGGCGAGCGUUGUCCGGAGUUACUGGGCGUAAAGCGCUUGUAGGCGGUCCACCAAGUUUGGGGUGACAGUUGCCGACUUAAUCGGCAAAGUGCCUCAAAGACUGGCGGACUUGAGAGCCACAGAGGGACAUGGAACUCCAGGUGUAGUGGUGAAAUGCGUAGAUAUCUGGAAGAACACCAAAGGCGAAGGCAGUGUCCUGGGUGGUCGCUGACGCUGAGAGGCGAAAGCCAGGGGAGCGAACGGG
rnacentral:rRNA from 1 species